UUUAGUUAUGAAAAAUAGCUUGAGAAUUUUGAGUUUUAAUAUCUAGGAUUAAAUUUUUGGAAGACAAAAUUUUUUUUAACUAAAACACUUGACAAUUUUAUUUUCACAUUUCACAAUACAAAUGAAAAUUGCCUUUUUUUUUUUUUUUUUUGUCUCACUACUCCCCUGCAAAAACUAUUCUCGAUAGGAAGGGGAAGCAAAUCUUCCUUGUCAUGCUGUUAGAAAACACCCAGAGUCACAGCACCAUGAUCUCCUGGUGAAGUAGAACAAGUAAUAUAAAAUGAAUAUAAAGAGGUUCCUGUCUCUCCUUAUCUGUCUGGUCGAGUCAUUCCUGGCCGAGUGGGCACCAUCAUGGGACAAGCAGGAGGUCUCAUCAUUGGGGGCCCAAGCAUCAUUGGCAUAUGGCCUCCCAUAGGUGGCCUCAUUCCAGGAGCAGGUCCCACUGGCAUCAUCCCAGGAGGAGGAGGGCCCAUCAUUGGCAUCAUGGGAGGGCCCCCCAUAUGGGGGGCUGGCAUCAUACCAGGGUGAGGAGGACCCGGGAGACUGGGGGGAGGUGGGAUCAUUGCCCCUGCAGAAGGAGGAGCAGAAAAUGGAGUAGGAGGUAUCUUUCCUUGUUGAAAUGCAGCGGAGAGUCAUGGGUGAGGUAUGUGUCGCAGUAGUCACAAUAAAACUUAGGCAUGUUACUCUGCAGGCCAUUGGCCACUCCGUCCCGCACCACCCGGAAAUGACCUGGAAGACAAAAUUUUUUUAAAAUGUCACAGUAAAUUGGUAAUGGGUAAAGAUAGUAAUGGGUGACUUAGCAAUAACACUUGAUUGUCUAUUUAAUCAUAGUGACAUAUUUAAAAAAAUAAAUAUAGACGGUAGCAUGAUUGAAGAGGACCUUAUCUCUUUCAGAAGUGAAAGUGGAGGACCUUUGUUCUUUGCCUCCCCUCUUCCCAAAUAAUCAAAGAUUCAGGUAGGAGGAGACUGUGGGGAGGUUGGGUAGGGAGAGAGAAAACCAAGAG
rnacentral:lncRNA from 1 species